rnacentral:rRNA from 1 species
GAUGAACGCUAGCGGGAGGCCUAACACAUGCAAGCCGAGCGGUAUUAUUUCUUCGGAAAUGAGAGAGCGGCGUACGGGUGCGGAACACGUGUGCAACCUGCCUUUAUCUGGGGGAUAGCCUUUCGAAAGGAAGAUUAAUACUCCAUAAUAUAUUGAACGGCAUCGUUUAAUAUUGAAAGCUCCGGCGGAUAGAGAUGGGCACGCGCAAGAUUAGCUAGUUGGUGAGGUAACGGCUCACCAAGGCGAUGAUCUUUAGGGGGCCUGAGAGGGUGCUCCCCCACACUGGUACUGAGACACGGACCAGACUCCUACGGGAGGCAGCAGUGAGGAAUAUUGGUCAAUGGGUGCAAGCCUGAACCAGCCAUCCCGCGUGAAGGACGACUGCCCUAUGGGUUGUAAACUUCUUUUGUAUAGGGAUAAACCUACCCUCGUGAGGGUAGCUGAAGGUACUAUACGAAUAAGCACCGGCUAACUCCGUGCCAGCAGCCGCCGUAAGAC